rnacentral:rRNA from 1 species
UACGUAGGGUGCAAGCGUUAAUCGGAAUUACUGGGCGUAAAGCGUGCGCAGGCGGUUUUGUAAGACAGGUGUGAAAUCCCCGGGCUUAACCUGGGAACUGCAUUUGUGACUGCAUAGCUAGAGUACGGUAGAGGGGGAUGGAAUUCCGCGUGUAGCAGUGAAAUGCGUAGAUAUGCGGAGGAACACCGAUGGCGAAGGCAGGUCUCUGGGCUGACACUGACGCUCAUGCACGAAAGCGUGGGGAGCAAACAGG